AGGACGAACGCUGGCGGCGUGCUUAACACAUGCAAGUCGAACGGACUCGGUCGGUGGUAACACCGGCGAAAGUUAGUGGCGAACGGGUGCGUAACACGUGAGCAACCUACCCUAGAGACUGGGAUAACACCGGGAAACCGGUGCUAAUACCGGAUACCCCCAUCCCAUCGCAUGGUGGAAUGAGGAAAUGUUUUUCGCUCUUGGAGGGGCUCGCGGCCUAUCAGCUUGUUGGUGAGGUAAUGGCUCACCAAGGCUUCGACGGGUAGCUGGUCUGAGAGGACGACCAGCCACACUGGGACUGAGACACGGCCCAGACUCCUACGGGAGGCAGC
rnacentral:rRNA from 1 species